UGAGUAAUAUAUCGGAACGUGCCCAGUCGUGGGGAUAACGUAGCGAAAGUUACGCUAAUACCGCAUACGAUCUAAGGAUGAAAGCGGGGGAUCGCAAGACCUCGCGCGAUUGGAGCGGCCGAUAUCAGAUUAGGUAGUUGGUGAGGUAAAGGCUCACCAAGCCAACGAUCUGUAGCUGGUCUGAGAGGACGACCAGCCACACUGGAACCUGAGACACGGUCCAGACUCCUACGGGAGGCAGCAGUGGGGAAUUUUUGGACCAAUGGACGCAAGUCUGAUCCAGCCAUUCCGCGUGCAGGAUGAAGGCCCUCGGGUUGUAAACUGCUUUUGUACGGAACGAAAAGGUUUCUAUUAAUACUAGGAGCUCAUGACGGUACCGUAAGAAUAAGCACCGGCUAACUACGUG
rnacentral:rRNA from 1 species